UGUUACACCAUAAUGAACUGUUUGUGUCUUAGGGGCAUGGAAACACUCAUGCUUCCAAUGUGAUAUUGCCCAUUUCAGUUUCCGCAUUUAAAUCAUAUUUCAUUUUUGACACUGCAGGCUUCCUGUUUGGAAUGUGGUCUUCUGGGAGAACGCUGCACAGCUGCAAGGGGAGGGGAAGGAUUCACUUCAGACACUUCAGAGGGGGAAAAAACAGUCUAGGCAAUCAAAAUGGCUGUCUGAUUAAAAAAAGUCUCCACUCCUCCAGAUAUCCUUUUUAAUGUUGGAAGGUUGUGUUCUGCCAACCAGAUCUGGUAUCUAGGCCAGGUGUUCAAAGUAACAAGACACUAAGUUUCAAAGAAAGUGAUGGAUACCAAACACCAGAGAAAAAGCUGGAGGGAGUAAGCUGGCUGAUUAAAAUGUAAAAACACAACAGUGCUGCUUUUAGUAUGAAAAAAACUACCUGGUACUUCUUGGACUUGACAAAGAACCCUGCUUUUUCAGUUCGGAGCUUAUUCAUUUACACAGAGGGAGUGUGGGUAGAGCUAACUCAAUAUUCAGCCCUAGAUGCUUAAACCAGAUUAAAACAAUCCAUCAGGUUAUGCCAUGUGCUUUUAGAUUACAAUGGCAAAGCAGUACAAAUCUACCUAAAUCUAUUGGCCAUUGCUGAUUACUCUUGCUUAUCAAUACACUGAGUCACUGUAUAAUUCAUCACUAUAGAAGGAAUGUGAAUC